AAAUAUUAAGGGCUUAUGGUGGAUGCCUUGACAUCAAGAGGCGAUGAAGGGCGUGGCGUGACUGCGAUAAGCUUCGGGGAGGUGUCUAGCAACCUUUGAUCCGGAGAUUUCCGAAUGGGGAAACCCAAUUGAGCAAACCUCAAUUAUCCCGCAGCAAUGCGGGGAGCGAACCCGCUGAAGUGAAACAUCUCAGUAAGCGGAGGAAAAGAAAAUAAUAUCAGCUUUGCUGAUUCAUUCCCUUAGUAGCGGCGAGCGAACGGGGAAGAGCCUAAACCAGUGCGAAGCACUGGAAUUUUGAAGCUUGAAUUUUGAAUUAUGAACGAAUUUUUAAUAAUUUAAUUUUUAAUUAAACAUUAAGAUAUUCUGAUUUGAAUCAAAAUUCGAAAUUAGAAAUUCGAAAUUCCGCUGCUUCGCAGUGGUGUUGCAAGGUAGUAACGUUCCGGAGCAUCUCACACCUUAUGAAUUUUCACGAGGUGUGGGAUUCAUUCCGGAGGGAGUCCACAAAAAUAAAGUUUACCCUGAGUUUAUCGAGGGGCAUUGUUAAUCAAAUCUCGCUGGAAAGCGGAACCAAAGAGGGUAAUAGUCCCGUAGGUGAAAACAGCUUUAUGCUCCUAGUUAUUAUUCUUAAGUACGGCGAGGCACGAAAACCUUGUCGGAAGCCGGCAGGACUACUCUGCCAAGGCUAAAUACUCUUGAUGAUCGAUAGUGAACUAGUACCGUGAGGGAAAGGUGAAAAAUAGCCCGGUAAGGGCGGUGAAAUAGAUCUGAAACCAUAAGCUUACAA
rnacentral:rRNA from 1 species